rnacentral:rRNA from 1 species
GACGUAGGUGGCGAACGUUAUCCGGAAUUAUUGGGCGUAAAGGGUGCGUAGAUGGCCUGACAAGUUAGCAGUGGGAAAUCGAGGCUCAACCUCGUGGAAACUGAUAAUACUGUCUGGCUCGAGUACAGGAGAGGUUAACGGAACUCCAUGUGGAGCGGUAAAAUGUGUAGAUAUAUGGAAGAACACCAAUAACGGCGAAGGCAGUUAACUAUUCUGUUACUGACAUUGAGGCACAAAAGCGUGGGGAGCAAAACGG